CCAGCAGCUGCGGUAAUUCCAGCUCCAAUAGCGUAUAUUAAAGUUGUUGCAGUUAAAAAGCUCGUAGUUGAAUUUUGGGCUCAGCUGAGUGGUCUAGCCUAACGGUUAGUACUGCUUCGGUUGGGCCUUUCCUUCUGGCUAGCCAGUGUGCUCUUAAUUGGGUGCGCUGGGGAACCAGGACUUUUACUGUGAAAAAAUUAGAGUGUUUAAAGCAGGCUUACGCUUGAAUACAUUAGCAUGGAAUAAUAGAAUAGGACUUUGGUUCUAUUUUGUUGGUUUCUAGGACCGAAGUAAUGAUUAAUAGGGAUAGUUGGGGGCAUUAGUAUUUAAUUGUCAGAGGUGAAAUUCUUGGAUUUAUGAAAGACUAACUUCUGCGAAAGCAUUUGCCAAAGAUGUUUUCAU
rnacentral:rRNA from 1 species